rnacentral:rRNA from 1 species
UGGGGAAUUUUGGACAAUGGGCGAAAGCCUGAUCCAGCCAUGCCGCGUGCGGGAAGAAGGCCUUCGGGUUGUAAACCGCUUUUGGCAGGAACGAAACGGCGCGGGCUAAUACCCCGCGUUAAUGACGGUACCUGCAGAAUAAGCACCGGCUAACUACGUGCCAGCAGCCGCGGUAAUACGUAGGGUGCGAGCGUUAAUCGGAAUUACUGGGCGUAAAGCGUACGCAGGCGGCUUGGUAAGACAGAUGUGAAAUCCCCGGGCUUAACCUGGGAACUGCAUUUGUGACUGCCAGGCUCGAGUCUGUCAGAGGGGGGUGGAAUUCCACGUGUAGCAGUGAAAUGCGUAGAGAUGUGGAGGAACACCGAUGGCGAAGGCAGCCCCCUGGGAUGAGACUGACGCUCAUGUACGAAAGCGUGGGGAGCAAACAGGAUUAGAUACCCCCGUAGUCC